UACGUAGGGUGCGAGCGUUGUCCGGAAUUAUUGGGCGUAAAGGGCUCGUAGGCGGUUUGUCGCGUCGGGAGUGAAAACCCAGGGCUUAACCCUGGGCUGGCUUCCGAUACGGGCAGACUAGAGGUAUGCAGGGGAGAACGGAAUUCCUGGUGUAGCGGUGAAAUGCGCAGAUAUCAGGAGGAACACCGGUGGCGAAGGCGGCAUCCUGGACUGGUCCUGACACUCAGGAGCGAAAGCGUGGGGAGCGAUCCGG
rnacentral:rRNA from 1 species